rnacentral:rRNA from 1 species
UACGAAGGGGGCUAGCGUUGCUCGGAAUCACUGGGCGUAAAGGGUGCGUAGGCGGGUCUUUAAGUCAGGGGUGAAAUCCUGGAGCUCAACUCCAGAACUGCCUUUGAUACUGAGGAUCUUGAGUUCGGGAGAGGUGAGUGGAACUGCGAGUGUAGAGGUGAAAUGCGCAGAUAUCGGGAAGAACACCCGUGGCGAAGGCGGCUCUCUGGGACGGUACUGACGCUGAGGCGCGAAAGCGUGGGGAGCGAUCCGG